rnacentral:lncRNA from 1 species
GGGCGGCCUGGGGCUCGCCGCUGGUCAGGCCAGGUUAGCCCAAGGGAGACCAAAGACUCCACCUUGAGCAUCGCCCUUUGGAGGCGGGCAGAGUCCGGCCGCAGGCCACAAAGCGAUCCCCACCCGAAGGACUCCACAAGGACAGUCCUUUCCUUGCUCACCGCCGACAAAGUGGUUGGGGCAGGAAGGCGAGAAGGCACAGAUCAUUCAUGGGGAUGUAUAACCGAAACCAGUCCUCUCCACCGCCUGGGGAUCUUCACUUUCGCAGUCUACGACUGCCUGUGACUCCAGAAAGACAAACUGCAGAUUGGCCAAGGUCCAGCCUAAAUGUUACCUCCUCCAGGGAGCCUUUCCAGAUACUGCUUCUCCUCUCUCCCCCAACUCCCUCCCACAAAUGAAGUUUUCUCUUCUGAAUUCCUUGCUGCUGCCUGAAGACCCAGCCCGACAGCGAUGCCUGUCAGCCCGCGUCGCCCACCAGGGCAGCUGCUCUCCCAACUCGCAUGGGGGGCACCACCCCGCCUCGGUGCCCUAGAGCUGAGCGCAGCCGCGGCUCCACGGGGAUCGCCAGGGCCUCAGCCCUCGCGGCCGGCGGCGCGGGAGUGUUGCGGGGCAGGGACCAGAGCGCGAUCAGAGCGGCCACCCCCGAUUUAGGUCGCCAGCUUUCCAGUCACUGCGAUGGCCACUGGGGCGCCCCUUCCAUCCUGGUUAAAUUCUCAUUGUGAUCCCCAGCCCUCUUCUCGGUUCCCCACACCCAGGAGGCCGGUUCUCCGCCGCUCAGGCUGGGAGAGGUCACCGCUCCGGGCAGGGUGGACCCCCAGCUCCGUCUCGGAGGACCUUUCGCCGGAGGCGAGCAGGAAGGGGUUAACCAUGAGCCUCCCACCCUCACCUCCCAGACCCUGGUGCCGGGCUAAGGCCUCCGCUUCCCUCCUGAGGUCUCAUUAGGAAACCCUCACCGCUAUUUUCAACAUUUCCUCAAUCAAGUGCCUUUAAAUAGAGCUGCACAAACAGAUUGGCGGCAAAAGCGUAGAUCUUGUCACGAUUGAGACCAAUCCAGUAUUUCAGCCUUGUUUGCUUUGCAAUUACGGGUUGGCUUGUGGCUACGGUGCCACCGGGGCAAAUCUGCAGCCGCUCGCUUUCUCCUCUGCGCUCCGGGCGGGUGGAGGAAGCGACCCGCGGAGUCACUGCAGGGAGGAGAGGGGGACGCGCGCGGGGGGAGGCGGCGGAGGGCGGAGGAGACUCGCUUGCACCCCAGGGCCGCGGGCACGCAGAGCUGUGUUGAAGGACAUACUUUUCAGGUUCCUGACAGUCACUGAGCUAUACGCAAUAAUAAAGUGCGUGAUUCGCGUGUGGAAA